rnacentral:lncRNA from 1 species
AUACCUGGCUAAUUUUUGUAUUUUGUAUUUUAGGUGGAGACAAGGUUUCGCCACAUUGACUGGGCUGGUCUCGAACUCCUGAGCUCAAGCAACCCGCCCUCCUUGACCUCCCAAAGUGCUAGGAUUACAGGAAAGCACUGGAGAAGAGAGAAGACAAGAGAAACAGGUCCAUGGUGACAGGAGCCUAGGAAUAGAGCAGGCCUUCAGUCUUGGUGAAAAAAUAAAUGGUAUUCUAAGCCUUCCUUUGGACAUUAAUUCAGUACUACCCACUCUUUUUCUCUUGUCCAUUCCUCCCUUACAUUUUUUUUAUAAAAUGAAGAACUCAAUCCCU